rnacentral:rRNA from 1 species
UGGGGAAUAUUGGACAAUGGGGGGAACCCUGAUCCAGCAAUGCCGCGUGUGUGAAGAAGGCCUGCGGGUUGUAAAGCACUUUAGUUGGGGAGGAAAUGUAUGUACUGCAUAAGUGCAUGCUGUGACGUUACCCAAAGAAUAAGCACCGGCAAACUCUGUGCCAGCAGGAGCGGUAAUACAGAGGCCCCGAGCGUUAUCCGGAAUCAUUGGGCGUAAAGGAUUUGUAGGUGGCUUGAUUAGUCUCUUGUUAAAGCACCGGGCUCAACCCGGGACAGGCAAGGGAAACGGUCAGGCUAGAGGAUGGCAGAGGUGUGUGGAACUAAAGGUGUAGGGGUGAAAUCCGUUGAUAUCUUUGGGAACACCAAAAGCGAAGGCAGCACACUGGGCCAUUCCUGACACUGAAAAAUGAAACCCUGGGUAGCGAAUGGGAUUAGAUACCCAUGUAGUCCCUGAGCGGGCUGGCAAGGCGCAU